GACGAACGCUGGCGGCGUGCUUAACACAUGCAAGUCGAACGGAAAGGCCCUGCUUUUGUGGGGUGCUCGAGUGGCGAACGGGUGUGUAACACGUGAGUAACCUGCCCUUGACUUUGGGAUAACUUCAGGAAACUGGGGCUAAUACCGGAUAGGAGCUCCUGCUGCAUGGUGGGGGUUGGAAAGUUUCGGCGGUUGGGGAUGGAAUCGCGGCUUAUCAGCCUGUUGGUGGGGUAGUGGCUUACCAAGGCUUUGACGGGUAGCCGGCCUGAGAGGUUGACCGGCCACAUUGGGACUGAGAGACGGCCCAGACUCCUACGGGAGGCAGCAGUGGGGAGUAUGGCACAAUGGGCGGAAGCCUGAUGCAGCAACGCCGCGUGCGGGAUGACGGCCUACGGGUUGUAAACCGCUUUCGCCGGUGACGAAGCGGGAGUGACGGUAAUGGGUAAAGAAGCACCGGCUAACUACGUG
rnacentral:rRNA from 1 species